CCCACACGGCCUCCUGGUCCGUCACGGGGAUCAGCUGCUCCAGAGCCCUGGGAGAGGAAGCCGCUCGUGAAGGACCCCAGACUGAGUCCAUGUGAUGCCCUGAUGAGCUCCGGGGCUCCUGCAUCAGCACCCUCAAUCACCACGGCGCGUUCCACAUGUGGAAGGAGCUCAUCAGGGCCAUCGCUAAAGAUAGCAGGCCGGGCUAACUAUCCAUCAUCCCCUCCUGUCUCCAGCCCAGAUCUGACUGUUUCCCCUGCGCAUCUCAGCUGCCUGCUGUUCUCCUUUCUUCUUCCCAUCACUGCAUUGUUAUCACCCAAUCACAUAAAAAACUCUGUAAUCUUCACCACUAA